AAAACAUCUAGUCUGUAUUGCCAGUUGAACAUAAGAACUCCACAGAGAAUAAAAACUUUAUUUUCAUCAAUGGCAGAUGGAUCUCGAACUGAAGCUGAACAACUGAACAAGAGCCCCAAGGAAAAUUCUGGAGAAAGAAAUGAACAAGAGCUUUCGUAAAAGGAAAAUAGUGAGACCUGGAAGAUUCAUAAGAAUGAAAUAAGCUUAUCUGAAGGCACAGACGUUGGCGUUUUCGACUUCGGCAACAAUUAUCAUGCAGGUCCUAUUGAUGGUCUUGAAGCAAGGAGGGCUCGAAACUACAGCGUUGAGGGCAAUAAAAUCCAUUCAAACAAAGGCCAGCGUGUUGGGAUUGGCAAAUUUGGCAACAACUACUCCAUGUCCAACGUAUCAUUUUUUCUUGGUGGGCUUAUUAUUCUAGUUUUUGCUAUAUAUAAUAUAUACAGCGAAGCUAAAGGUACGAACAAGAAGGAAAUAUGAAUGAGAUGAAAAGGGAAGGGGCUGCUGAAUAAACAGGCUGGAAUUUCCAAGAAGAAAACAAAAACUGAGAUGUAUGGUUUGGAGAUUUAUGGCCACUAGAACUCAUACACUCGAACUUUUCUCUGAAUCUGAAUGUUAUUUCUCUUAUAUUUAUGUAUUUCUUUUCUUCUUCU